UCAUUCUUCUCUGUUGAUAUUUGCUUCUUUGUUUUUUGUGCAUGUUGCCUAGAGCUCUAUAUCUCUGGAUUGUUACAUGGUAUCGAGAACUAUUGAUAAGCACCCUGAUGGAAGAUGAAACCCCUCCACACUCACCAUGCCCUCAUUCUCCCAGCCCCAAUUCUCCCAGCCCUAAUUCGCCCAUUUUUCCAAAUCCUAAUUCCCAACUAAACUAGCAUACCCAUCCCUUAUACCUCAAUCUCACCAAUCCCUCAAACCCUUUUUUUCUUGAUCAUGGUGAUAAUCCGGGCAUCACCCUCGUUCCUGAACUUCUAACCACUGAUAAUUAUGCCACAUGGUCUAGAGCCAUGCGACGCGCUCUUCGAGCCAAGAAUAAACUUGGCUUCAUUUCGGGUACCUCUCUUACAGAUCCAUUACUUGAUUUAUGGGAGAGGUGCAACGAUAUAGUUGUUUCCUAGAUCCAGAACUCCAUUAGUCCUUCACUUAAAUCAUCUGUAGUCUUUGUCGAUGAUGCUAAGGAGAUUUGGCAAGACCUGUACGAUCGUUUUUCCCAGCAAAAUGGUCCACGGAUUUUUUAGUUGAAGAAGGAUUUAGCCAAUCUUCUUCAAGAACGUGAUUCUGUAAGCAUCUAUUAUGGACCUGCCUUCUUGGAAAACGAUUGGGAAGGGUGAGCUCAAGCAUGGUUUAUACCAUUUCAUCUGUUCAGACAUUUCUCCUUCUGCCCUUACUCAAUCUCUUUUAGCUCACACAUCUUUUACUGCACACACUUCUCUCAUUAAUAAUGUCAAUCAAUCUGACCUAUGGCAUUUUUGCCUAGGCCAUUUAUCAGUUAUAGGUUAAGAAAGAUUUCUGAUCCAGUUGUAAGCAAGCAUUUUACUGAUAUUAAUGAAACUCCUUGUGCUGUUUGUCCUCC